GUGGGUUCUCCUUUCGUGCUG
rnacentral:siRNA from 1 species